UUAUGAAAGUUGUCUAGGUCUGCGAGAAAGUCAAACAUUCCCAAUUGGGGCAAACAGUGGCCAACAUCGAGGGAGUAAUGCGGACAGAUUGGAGUGGAUAAUUGGAUGCGUUUGAAUUCUGACGCGUGGGUGGCAGCGAUCAAACUGUGAACGGACUCUCAGCUUGGAGAUCAGAGAGUCUGGGAGGAAGAGGUCAGAAGAAGGGAUUGAGGAAGAUGGAUGGAGAGGACAGGGAAGAGAGGACUGGCCAAGCUGGGUUUACACAGCACCGAUAAAGCCCCAGGGCCUGAAGAUCUGUCCGUAGGCUUACAGUACCCAUGGAGGCAGAGGCCACAAAGGACCUGAGGUGUCAGGUGGAGCUGAACAGUCAGACUGGGGCCAAGCAUCUCUUCAUGGCUGGGGCUACUGCCCAGGACAGCUCACUCCAGUCCUAAGGACAGGAGGCUACUAAACAAUGCUAGCAAGUGCUCUAACGCUGAACUGAGCUACACACCCCAGCCCUUUUGUUCCUUCUGCCUCCACAAAUUAAGACACUGGUCAAGCUGCCUUGCCUCAAUUCAUAGGGAAAUAACAACCGCCCGGGCCAGAGGUAUUUGCGAAUAAGUGAAAUCUAUUUAAAGGACUGGAGAGAGCAGGGAGCAGGGAUGUGUCCCGCUUGCUGGUUCUCUCUCUCUCUCUCCCUCCCAUCCUCCUUCUCCCUCCCUCCCUCCUCGGAGUUAUCUCAUCCAGACAAAGAACCUUUCCAGCCUUGGGCUCAGCAUGGUGACUAUGUUACUUUAUUAUCUCCCAAAACCUGCUUGGCUGCUCUCACCUGUUAGGGUACCUGGCUCAUUCACCUCCCAUCAGCCUCUGGGGGGUUGGGGGGGUUGUGUCUGUUUCCUUGGGAAGCAGGUGGCCAUCUUUCUGUUUCCUCUGAGAGGGGCAAUUUCACUUUGUGGGAGCGUGGGUCUUCUUUCCAAAUCCAUAUGGGUCUUCUUUCCAAAUCUCAUGGGUCUUGGAGCCACAGAACUUCACCAUCUUAGCCUGUGCUCCAGAGAGGCUGGGCUCCGGUUAUGAACAACCUCGUCUGACAACUCUCUUUUCCGCCUCACCCCACAGUCCCUCUUCUUGGAUGUUUGCCUGUUUAUCUGCCUUAUUUGUUUCUCCACAACCCAGGCAGGGGCGGCAGAAGCAGCAGCAGCAGUAGCAGGUUUCCACCCAGGCUGGUCCUCAAAGCCUCGAGGGACAUCUCUAGGUUACUAAGACUCUCUCAAGAGUCACCUCUAGGGACAGGGGGAGUGAGUGGGGCAGAAAUAAUUGGCACAAAGGUGACUUGCCUGACUGUUGUCAAAGACUCAGACUGAAGAGGCAACCCCCAUGAAGCAGCUGGCCAGAACCUUAGUCAAUUCUUUCCUACCCGGCUCCCCUCAUGGUGGCACCUCCAGCUAGGGAAAUGGCUUCAGGAACAGAGCAUCUGCCCAGCACGCAAGAGUCCCUGGCAGCCAUCCCCAGCAAACACAAGAAACAAACAGAAACAAUGUGGCAGUCUGAGAUGUGGAAUCAAAAUUGUGACUCUUCUACUUCUCCUAUAAUGGAGCCUCUUGGAAUCCUCUGGAAAGUGAGAAAGAAGUCAUCCAUCCCUCUGGUUAGCCAAGGACUGACCAUGAGAGUGACCUGGAGCUAGUCCACCACCACCAGGCAGACAGACAGGGAAAGGGGCUGCUAAUAGAUUUG